rnacentral:rRNA from 1 species
UCACGACUCUCGGCAACGGAUAUGUCCGUCUCGCCACGAUGAAGAACGUAGCGAAAUGCGAUACNUAGUGUGAAUUGCAGAAUCCCGUGAAUCAUCGAGUCUUUGAACACAAGUUGCGCCCGAGGCCUCGGCCGACAGGCGUCUGCCUGGGCGUCGCAC